rnacentral:rRNA from 1 species
GAUGAACGCUAGCUACAGGCUUAACACAUGCAAGUCGAGGGGAAACGACAUCGAAAGCUUGCUUUUGAUGGGCGUCGACCGGCGCACGGGUGAGUAACGCGUAUCCAACCUGCCCACCACUUGGGGAUAACCUUGCGAAAGUAAGACUAAUACCCAAUGAUAUCUCUAGAAGACAUCUGAAAGAGAUUAAAGAUUUAUCGGUGAUGGAUGGGGAUGCGUCUGAUUAGCUUGUUGGCGGGGUAACGGCCCACCAAGGCUACGAUCAGUAGGGGUUCUGAGAGGAAGGUCCCCCACAUUGGAACUGAGGCACGGUCCAAACUCCUACGGGAGGCAGCAGUGAGGAAUAUUGGUCAAUGGACGAGAGUCUGAACCAGCCAAGUAGCGUGCAGGAUGACGGCCCUAUGGGUUGUAAACUGCUUUUAUAAGGGAAUAAAGUGUGUCUCGUGAGACUUUUUGCAUGUACCUUAUGAAUAAGGACCGGCUAAUUCCGUGCCAGCCGCCGCCGUAA